rnacentral:rRNA from 1 species
UUCGAGGGUGGUACACAGGUGCUGCAUGGCUGUCGUCAGUUCGUGCCGUGAGGUGUUUGGUUAAGUCCAGCAACGAACGCAACCCCUGUGCCCAAUUGCCAGCGCGUAAUGGCGGGAACUUUGGGCAGACUGCCUGUUUACGCAGGAGGAAGGUGGGGACGACGUCAAGUCAGUAUGGCCCUUACAUCCAGGGCUGCACACGUGCUACAAUGGCCGGUACAAAGGGACGCAAGACCGCGAGGUGGAGCAAACCCCCAGAGCCGGCCCCAGUUCAGAUUGCAGUCUGCAACCCGACUGCAUGAAGUUGGAUUCGCUAGUAACGGCGCAUCAGCUACGGCGCCGUGAAUACGUUCCCGGGCCUU